GCAGUGAUGAAUCAGUGGUAGAAUUCUUGCCUUCCAUGUGGGAGACCCGGGUUCAAUUCCCAGUUAAUGCA
rnacentral:tRNA from 1 species